rnacentral:rRNA from 1 species
UACGUAGGGUGCAAGCGUUAAUCGGAAUUACUGGGCGUAAAGCGUGCGCAGGCGGUUUUGUAAGUCUGUCGUGAAAUCCCCGGGCUUAACCUGGGAAUGGCGAUGGAGACUGCAAGGCUAGAGUUUGGCAGAGGGGGGUAGAAUUCCACGUGUAGCAGUGAAAUGCGUAGAGAUGUGGAGGAACACCGAUGGCGAAGGCAGCCCCCUGGGCCAAUACUGACGCUCAUGCACGAAAGCGUGGGGAGCAAACAGG